UACGAGGGGGCGAGCGUUGUUCGGAAUUAUUGGGCGUAAAGGGCGCGUAGGCGGUGCGGUAAGUCACCUGUGAAACCUCUAGGCUUAACCUAGAGCCUGCAGGCGAAACUGCCGUGCUGGAGUGUGGGAGAGGUGCGUGGAAUCCUGGUGUAGCGGUGAAAUGCGCAGAUAUCAGGAGGAACACCGAUGGCGAAGGCAGGUCGUCUGGGCCACUACUGACGCUGAGAAGCGAAAGCAUGGGGAGCGAACAGG
rnacentral:rRNA from 1 species